CGCUGGCGGCGUGCCUAAUACAUGCAAGUCAACGGUCUUUCUAUGGAAGCUUGCUUCCACUGAGAAGAUAGUGGCGAACGGGUGAGUAACACGUGGGUAACCUGCCCAUAAGAGGGGGAUAACAUCCGGAAACGGGUGCUAAUACCGCAUAGUUUUCUUGAUCGCAUGAUCGGGAAAGGAAAGACGGCCUUUGUGCUGUCGCUUAUGGAUGGACCCGCGGCGUAUUAGUUAGUUGGUGAGGUAACGGCUCACCAAGACGAUGAUACGUAGCCGACCUGAGAGGGUGAUCGGCCACAUUGGGACUGAGACACGGCCCAAACUCCUACGGGAGGCAGCAGUAGGGAAUCUUCCGCAAUGGACGAAAGUCUGACGGAGCAACGCCGCGUGAGUGAAGAAAGGUUUUCGGAUCGUAAAACUCUGUUGUCAGAGAAGAACAAGUUGGAGAGUAACUGCUCCAGCCUUGACGGUAUCUGACCAGAAAGCCACGGCUAACUACGUGCCAGCAGCCGC
rnacentral:rRNA from 1 species